AUCAUAGAAUGAUUCCCUUCUUGCUCGAGUUGGUUUCAAAAUUCCCCAGGUUUGUAACCCAAUUUGCUGUGACAGUGGCAGUGUUAUCGCUAUGGUCACUAGAUGGCAAUGAAGAAUCAAUGAAGAAUCCCUGUUCAACUGGGGCUGUUUGCAGGAGUUUGGCCUAGAUUUGCCCUGGGAGAAAGAACUGGAAGAUACUAGAGAAACCAUGAAAAUAAAUGUGCAAUCCUUCUGCUUGGUAAUGAGCAUUUCUUUUGUUAUUUUCUGUUUCUCAAAAAAAAAAACCCCAAAACCCAAACCCCUAAAAAGAUAGAUUGUAUUUACCCAGCAGGAAAAGGUUAUCAGAUUAGAAACAUAAUUCUGAGUGAGAAAAAGGAAGCUUAGCCUCACCAGGGCAGGUAUUUAGACAAUAUGGCAUCAUACUCCUGAAACAUUGCUGAUGCCUCAAGUACACGGGGAUUUCAGUGUUUGAACCUGAAGCUCAAAACGUGUUUUUAUUCCUUAGCAGUAGCAGGAGGCAAUCCGUUUCCGUACGACCCUCCUUCCUCGUUAAAGCUUACCUACAUGCCUCUCCAUACAUUUAUUUUUAAACAAUGUUCUGUCAUAGAGAAAACUUUAACCCAAAUCUAGCUGAUACUGGAGUGAAACACACCUUGAUUCAUCCGUUUCCUGGGUGCUGUGUGCUGGUGGCUUCUCCACUACCCCGUGUGCCGUCUGUGUCUUAAUUUUGCUUGAAGGUUAAUCUCAUUUGAAGGCAGGAGUUUUGUGUGUACAAAAAUUUGCAAAGCCAGCUGGCAUAUCCUACACCCGUAUACUGUUGUGAUUCGAAAGCAGCGUUAUGGGAAGCAGAAGGAACUAAAUGAAGAAAUUAAACUGACAAUAUACCCUGCAGUGAGCUGAUGGGGAAAAGCUGAAUGACCUAUUUUUGGAUUUGCCCACUGCUGCUUCUCUGUGGUUCUGUUGCAAAGGACAAUGUGGGAUCUCGGUACUUAUCGCUGCCUUCUGUAGGAUGUGGAUUUUCAAUACUCUAGAGGGUAAAAGUCGUCUGUUAAGAGCCAACACAAGGCCCUCAUACCACUUCAGCAUGUUUAAAGAAAUAAUAAGUGGCAUAUUUUUUACAAACUGUUCCCAACUCUGUAACUUCUAUAGUACCUCACGACUGACAGCUCUUCAUUUGCUGUUGAAGGGCUUUCUGUUUUUAUUGAACUGAGUCACACAGAGAUAAAAUUUGGCAGAAACCUGAGCCCAACUGCUCUUCCAUUAUUUAGAAGAAACACAGGAAAACUAAACAAACUAUUAGAUAGAUGACCAGGGCUGCUCAUCUCCUAUGAACAUUUUUCUAAGCAAUUCAGAAAGAAAUUCAGAAAAUGCAUAUGAAGAGUGGGGAAGAUCGAGUGGUAAAAGUAAAUGAAUUGGGUGACUGCCAGUAAUUUCAGAGCUGUGUAUUUCUUUGAUUCCAGGAAGGCACGUUUCCCCCGGUCUGCAGGACUGAAUGCUGUCUUUGCUCUGCUCUGUGCAGAGGUGGUGCAACUCCUUGGAUCAGUUCUUAUUAACAGCUGUCAAGAACAACCUUGUUCCCUGGAAGACAGAAGAACUUAUUAAAAGGAUAGCAGCCUUAUAUAUAGCUGUGCAUCCUUAUAGAAUCAUAGAAUCACCAGGUUGGAAAGGACCCACUGGAUCAUCGAGUCCAACCAUUCCUAACACUCCCUAAACCAUGUCCCUAAGCACUUCAUCCACCCAUUCCUUAAACACCUCCAGGGAAGGUGACUCGACCCCCUCCCUGGGCAGCUGUUCCAGUGCCCGAUGACUCUUUCUGUGAAGAAUUUUUUUCUGACGUCCAGUCUGACCCUCCCCUGGUGGAGCUUCAGGCCAUUCCCCCUUGUCCUGUCCUCUGUCACUUGGGAGAAGAGCCCAGCUCCCUCCUCUCCACAACCUCCUUUCAGGCAGUUGUAGAGAGCAAUAAGGUCUCCCCUCAGCCUCCUCUUCUUAUGCAUCAUGCCAUUCCAUUCUUGAAUAAUUGCUGGCAGAUUCCUCCUUGGAUUUAGUGCAAACUCUUUAAUACAGGCCCUUUACAAGGUGCAGGUAGGGAGCAGGUUGAUAAACCUGGCAGUCAGUCGGGUCAACAGCUUGGUUUUAAAAGAAAAGUUCAAUAACAUUGUCUUGGCUUUGUAAAAAGGUGGCAUUUCAUUUCUACACCAUGAAGUAUAAUGAUAACCAUUGUGACUGAUGAUUGCAAAGGGUUGGGAAGCCCGUAGAGAUAGUUAUUGGAAAAAUAUUCCACCUGGCUGUUGGGAAGUGGCACUUGUACCCAUCAGUGGGAGUCUGGAGGUCUCUGCUAAGUUCUUCAGUGGCUGAUUGGACUAAAGAUAGGCUUAGCUUUUCUCAGAGUCACCCUGAGAGGAAGCCUCUCUGCAGCCUGGGUGGAUCGUGAUAGUGCCCAGGUCCUGCAAAGACAGCAAACACCAGCUGGAUUACUCCAGCGAGGGGGACCAGAGGCUCCACCCUGCAACUGAGUGCGAGCAGUGCCAUGGUGGUACUUGCUGUGUAAGUGUUCAUGGCUGUGGGAAAAGAAAAUCAGGCUAAGCUGAAGUGGGGAAAGCAGUUUAUCACUAUUUGCAGACCUGUAGACCAUGGUGAGAUUGAUCUCCAGGAGCUGCAAGUACCUACAGAGGAGGUGGCCGCAGUGCUGUAACUACCUCAGGUCUUUCAGACUCAACAAAGGGCCUGGGAUAUGAUUCUUUUGGCCCAUUGUAGAUAUUUACUUCAGGAUGAAGCAGGCUGUGUCCUGGAAGUGCCUGUUUUCUCUGCUGACUGCGAAGAGUAUCUCAGUACCGAGCUCGGAUGUAGACCUCUGCGUGUGUGAUGAAUGACACAAAAAGUACUACAAACACUAGAAAGAAGGGAAUUGCUCUUCUCAGUCGUUUCCUAAGAUGAGUCCUUUCCAUGUCAAGGCAGGUGUCUUCUUAGGUAAGGCAAGGAGAAAAUAAAUGAGAGAUGAUUUAUCAAUUAGAGGUCAGUAAUUAUGUUGUGUGAAGUCUUAAUGACUACAGCAGGUUUAAUGGGUGCUUUCUGAAUUUUCCUCACCCACAGACUAUUCUACAAAGCACAGAGAGAAGGGUGCUUCCUCCAGCACAAAUGGCAGAGGUUCUGCAGCCACGUAGCUUGGCUUUGCUGUUUCUGCUUUACUUCAACUUCAUUCAGUUAUGUGUUAAUCAAAGAACUAAAGGCAAAUUCCGGAUACUGACCCGUGAGGUGUUGUGCACUGAUGGGUUGUGCAUUUUGUCUGCUUUCUGCAUUCAUUGUUUGCUUGUGGUGGAUCUGACUGAGCGAGGGAAUCCCUUCACACUGCUCAGCAGCGUUGGUUUAUGUGCACAGAUGCUUGCAAAUUAAGGAUGAACGUCAGAAGGGAAAUAACCACCAUAAAUAUUCUAUGUGGACAUCAUAGAAGAAGCAUGUCUUUAUAAAGGACUUAAAUGCAGUUGGAACAGAGAUUUUAUAGAGAAAAUGUGGGAGGGGGAAGUUAAAUCAGCCCUGAAGUGUCACACUGAAGUGAAUAUGCCAGAACCUGAAGAGGAUCUCAUUUUCCUAGACAUUUCUUAUAUGGUGUCUUACACAGUCAGAGAACCUUUGUAAUUUAUUUUUCUUCUUAAUGAAAACAUACCAAUAAUUUUCCUUGUUGGGACCCUUGCAGCAAGCAGAAACCACCAACCACAGCAGGGAUGCUGGUGGAGAACUGCAGGGUGGAGAGGGAUGGAGACUCCUCACGGGUGGCUCUGAUGGACACAGCUGAGGGACAGGAUGCUUACAUUCCUGUUGUUUGGAUGUUCCCAACGCAGGGCCUCGCAGAGCUCCUCUAAGUUGGCAAAGAGAUGUCUCACCCUCCUGACUUCACCAAGAGAAAAAGUCUUAAACGCGCCGUCUUGAAGGUUUUUGACAACAAAGAGACUCACGCAUUUUAAAAACAGUAUGUAAUGGAGUCGCAGCAGACGAUUGUCAGAGAAAGAAGGAAUAUUUGCUCUCUUCUCAUCUUCUGAAGAUGGGCGCUUCAUGCUAGGGAUGAAGAAAUGUAGCUGGAUGCUUAUGAGAAGCUUACUGUCUUUGCGCUGGUGCGAAAGUUUCACUGCACGAUGAACUUCACCCACCAGGACUGUUACUGUGGGGCCUCAAUGACUUCAGAGAGUUGUGUUAGGAGGAGAAUGAUAGUGGUGAUGACAAUGGAAUAGUGUCCCAAGUAAGUGUGUUUACUGGAGAUACUUCAUGGAAUAAAGAAUUAACCAAUAAAUUUUCCCUUCCCAAGACUUGCUCACAGAGCGUGUACAAGGUUUUCCUCUACAGGGGUGAUAAAUGAAAAAUGGAUUUUCAGCUGAUGGUGAAAUACGCUCAUAUACACGUUCAAAAUGAACAUUACCUUAAUAUGGGUAAGAAUCACAGUUUAUUACUGAAUUAGCAAAACAGAAGCAGAAAGGUGUAAGAAGUGAACUCUUUCGACCUAUAGGAUUGCUUUGGGACAGAAGAGGGGACCAUGGUGUUAAGACUUCCAGGGUCAGUGAUGAUGCACCGUGGUAGGCACGUGUGAGAUGGGACAGAUAAAAUUUGAUGUAUAUAAAUAAAGCACAAAAACUCACAUAAAUCCUUCUGAAUUGGAAUGAUGGCCUUUCAAAACAAUCAAUUACAAGCCAUAAUUUCACUGAAACGCCUUUCUGCUUGGAUGAGUAAUGCAGGAAAUAUUAUUUGUGAUAAUUACAUACCUGAGGUGGAUUUACAAAAACACAGUUGCUUUAUACGUAGUUUAGGAUGACUUUGAUAAACUUGCUUAUUUUGUACUAUC